rnacentral:rRNA from 1 species
CCCUUAGAUGUUCUGGGCCGCACGCGCGCUACACUGAGUGGAUCAGCGGGUCAGGUUGCGCGAAAGCGUUUCCUAAUCUUUAAAUCCGCUCGUGAUGGGGAUUGACGGUUGCAAUUUUCUGUCAUGAACGAGGAAUACCUUGUAAGCGCGGGUCAUCAUCCCGCGCUGAAUACGUCCCUGCCCUUUGUACACACCGCCCGUCGCUCCUACCGAUUGAGUGGUCCGGUGAGGCUUUGGGAUCUGAGCGGAAAGAGCGUUUCGCUGCUUCUGCUCGGAAAACUCAGUCGAACCUUAUCAUUUAGAGGAAGGAGAAGUCGUAACA